GACGGGGCCUGAGGGGUGAAGGAGCCAGCUGGGCUGAUAGAGAAAGAGGGGAUUCAAGUGUCGAUUUCCCACAGACGGCGCCAAACUGUUGAUGCUCAAAAUGGCCCGGCCAAUAUUGAGUCCAACUUAGUGAUUAGAUGUGCUGAGGCCCUUGGUGAAAUGGGUUGGUGAGAGACCUGUAGAAGGCAAAAAGAGGAGAAGCAAUCGUUAAGCUUCGGACACCGGUGUGGUGCCG
rnacentral:lncRNA from 1 species